rnacentral:rRNA from 1 species
GGACCCGCACAAGUAGUGGAGCAUGUGGUUUAAUUCGAAGAUACGCGCAGAACCUUACCAACACUUGACAUGUUCGUCGCGACUUUAAGAGAUUAAAGUUUUCGGUUCGGCCGGACGAAACACAGGUGCUGCAUGGCUGUCGUCAGCUCGUGUCGUGAGAUGUUGGUUAAGUCCCGCAACGAGCGCAACCCUCACUUUUAGUUGCCAUCAUUUAGUUGGGCACUCUGAAAGAACUGCCAGUGAUAAGCUGGAGGAAGGUGGGGAUGACGUCAAGUCCUCAUGGCCCUUACGUGUUGGGCUACACACGUGCUACAAUGGCAUUUACAAUAGGAAGCAAGACGGCGACGUUAAG